rnacentral:misc_RNA from 1 species
GAUGAAGAACGCAGCGAACUGCGAUAAGUAAUGUGAAUUGCAGAAUUCAGUGAAUCAUCGAGUCUUUGAACGCACAUUGCGCCCCCUGGCAUUCCGGGGGGCAUGCCUGUCCGAGCGUCAUUGCUGCCCUUCAAGCCCGGCUUGUGUGUUGGGUCGUCGUCCCCCCCGGGGGACGGGCCCGAAAGGCAGCGGCGGCACCGCGUCCGGUCCUCGAGCGUAUGGGGCUUUGUCACCCGCUCGAUUAGGGCCGGCCGGGUGCCAGCAGGCGUCUCCAACCUUCUAUUUUACCAGGUUGACCUCGGAUCAGGUAGGGAUACCCGCUGAACUUAAGCAUAUCAAUAAGCGGAGGA